rnacentral:lncRNA from 1 species
AACAGACGCAUUACUAAAAGCGAUAGAUAAAAUGUCUAAUAUUUAUGAUCAAACCAAACAUCCUUUCAAUUGCAAAUAUUGUGAUAAGUGUUUUAAAUCUGUUAUGGAACUAGAGUUGCACGAUAAAAAUGUUCAUCUAAAAAUCAAGUGUCGAAGUUUUAUCAGAUUAUUUAGAACUAAUAAGCAGCUACAGAUCCAUGUUGAAGCUAACCACUCUAUUCAUUGCCAAUUUUGUGUUAAAUCGUUUGGAUCUCUUGAGGAGAUGGAAUCGCACGAUAGAAUAGUACAUCUGACAAUCGAAUGUCCAUAUUGCGAUAAACUGUACAGAUCAGAUGAGCAACUGCAGAAACAUAUUGGAUACAAACAUAAACAUCAGUGCGAAUUUUGUGAUAAAUAUUUUUCAUCGAUUGAGAAACUAGAUCAUCACGACAAAUACGUACAUCUAACAAUUGAAUGUCUAGCUUGUGAUAAAUUAUUCUUCAGAAAUGAUGGUGAUCUACUUACCCAUAUUAAACGUAAACAUCCUAGUUUUAGAUGCACAAUAUGUUAUAAAUGGUUUCAUUCCGAAGAGCAUGAAAAAUCUCACAGGCAAAAGAUGCAUUCAUUCAUUUGAUUAAAGUAAGGUGCAUAAUGUUUAAUUCCAUUUGUUUUAUUCUACGACAAAUUUCAAAUUAAAAAUAAGGAGCUGGAGGAAGGUGUAGCAGACAAAAAUAAUUUAAAAAUAUCGAAGAUUCUAGAAAAUAGAAAGGGUAUAGUUAUUAAAAAAUAUUGACACUGUUCUGUUAAGGGCCGUAAACUUUUAAUUUUUUGUGAAGUCAUUAAAAUAUUACUUCAAUAUAACUUAAUUUUUGCAUUUUCAUUGUGAAACGAUCUAUUUUAUGAAAUAUUUAUAAUAACUACUAUUUAUGUUUAAUGGAAAUAAUCCAAAAAUAUAUUGGACGUUUCGAUUCUGCUUCAAAAUUUUGUGAAAUUGCAAAAAAAUUGAAAAAACUAAUUUUUUUUUUCAUUAAAAUAUAAACUAAUCAGAUCAAAUUAGUCAAGAGGACUUUAACUGUAUAAAUUGUAAAAAAGACGUUUUUUAAAUAUUAAAAAAAACUAUUAUAUUUAUGAUUGAACUUUGACAUAGUUUUAAGAAGGUUUUUAGAUAUAUACAGACAAUUUUUUUGGCUCUUUUAUGUGUUUUAUGUAACACUGCAAAGGGCGUCAUCCAAAAGAUGCUUUUUAAUUUGGACACUGUUCUGCCUCUCUCUAAUAAUUUGUUUUUAAAUUCCAACGGGAUCCAGUUCUUGAGACUUAAAUCCGAUAUUAUUUUUAUAUUGUUAUGGAAUUUAUACGCGAUUUUAUAAAGAAUUCGAAAAACGCUUGUUUUUGGAAGUGAAAUUAUCCCUGUACGAAAUCUUAUCGAAUAAAAUGGUCAUAUUAAUUUUUUAUCCCUAAUCAGAGAUUUCUGGUGAAUAUUGGAUGCCCUCAUUUCCAGUAAAAGCUCUAAAUGGUCAGUAAAAUUUUUUUUGAUAAUUCCACCCUCUUUUAAUAUCCCUCCUUCUAUUAGCUUAAGCAAUACGAGCAUCGUCGAUAUUUUCCGACCGACUCGUUAGUAUUUCUCUCAUUUUUAUUUCCAUAAGAUCCAUUACUUUGAUAGCUCCUUCAAUAAAGACACAGCCUGCUGUCCAGGAGGCUACUUCUUUUUCUUAUUUUUCUUUUAUAUAGGCAGUACUGUCUGUUUUCCUUCAACGGUGCGUUUCAUGCUGCCUCUAAAUUGUUCCAUCUUUUCCUUGGGCGAAAUCAAAAUGUUCUGUUUAUUAUACUGCAACUUGAAAUCAGCGACAUUUAAACUCUUAAAUACUUAAAUAUUUAAAUUUAAUUUCAAAACAAUUACAGGUUAUACCUUUCAAUGCGAAACUCAGAUUGCUGUGAUAGCUACAUGUUACAUAAGGUAACAAGGGAAAUAUUCGAAUUGCAAUUUCUCAGAUUACUGACAUCUGGUGGGAAUAGUUGAUAUUAAUUAUACUAGUUGUUAAUAAUAGAAAUUUUUGUAUGAAAUACAAACCGCAUAACUUCAAAAUCGCAUUAAAAUAAUCCGCAUAAAAAGAGACCUUACUGUACUUCUUCUGCCUAACGGUGACUUAUCCCUGGCUAUUCUUACUAUCCUGUUUAUGUGUUAAUUCCACUCUUCUUUUCUGUUCUUUGCCUGGGUAUUUUUAUUGUCUACCCCAGAUAUGCGUCUGAUUUCCUCACUUCUUACCCUGUCUUAUAGUCCUUUUCCACCAACCCUUCUUACGAUCUUCAUUUCAUUGGUCUCCAGAUCUUUGUGUUUCGCUGGUGUCUGUCCUUGUUUCAGCCGUGUAAGUUAUAACUGACCUAAUAUCUGAUUUAUAUAUUCUGGUCUUUGUUUCCACUAGUAGGUGUUUGUUUUUCCAAAUUUUGUCGGUUAGGCAUCCGGUCGUUCGACUGGUGGUAAUUAUAAUACGGUCUUAGCUCUUCUUCGAUAUUGUUGUCGACUGAUAGAUUUAUUCCCAGGUACUUGAAAGUCAUUACUUGUUGUAAUUUGCAUUGCUAGUUAUUUGGCAAUUACUAAGUUAUUUGUUUUUUGAGCUGAUAUUUUCAUAUUCAUUUAUUUUGCGUUAAAGUUGAAUUCGUGGAGUAAGCUUUGCAGGUCGUCUUCGCACUCUGCUACUUACACGGUGUCAUCAGCGUAACAGAGUAUUUUUAUCUCUCUGUCGCCCAGUUUGUACCCACUUUUUUUCUUUACGUUUCUAUUAGGAGGCUACUUCUACUACAUAUUUGUCACAAGAUUUUUAUUUUUUGAAGUACUAAAAUUAAAAAAACUUAGACUGCCUUUUAAUAACCAUCAGAGCCAGGCAUUUUUCCGAUUUUCAAAAAAAUUUUCGACAAAUUUCAAUAAUAUAAAACACGUGCUGCCCUAAUACGUUUUAGAAAGCAACUGUCUUUUUGCUGGUGCACAGGUAAGGCGUCACGCGCCCCUUGUGAUACACAAAGUAGUUAUAGCUCUGGUAAGUACCGUUAUAAAUACAGCUAUAACUUCGUUUCUAUUUCUUCUUCUUCCUGCUUCCUUAAUAGGCUCGCGCCUGUUCCAUCUUCUGAUGCCUCCUCAUCAGAUAUCCAGGUUGUCACUUCAUUUCUUCCUUGGCCUUCCUAUACUAUUUCGGCCGUUUGGUAAUCUGUCUCGUUCUAUCUUUACCAGUCUUCCUUCUCCCAUUCUGCUUAUAUGGCUAUACCAAUCUUUUUUCUUUUCAAUGUCCAAUCAUUUAUGUUCUCUAUAUUACAGCUCUGCCUGAUAUUUGUGCUACGUUGUCUGUCCCAUAAUGAUUUUCCUGUGAUAUCUCAGACUAUUUAAAUUUCACAUGUUUCCAUCAGUAUUUUUGUCCUUGUGGUGUCAGGUCUCGUUUUCGCAAUGUAAGUCAUAAUAAUUGGCCUAACUGCUGUCCUUUAAGUCUUUGCCUUUGUUUCUGUCCGUAGAUGUGUGUUGCGCCAGAUAGCGUGUUUAAGCUAUCCUGCUAUUCUGCUGGCUUUGUUUAUUUGUUGGGCAACUUCCGCUUCUGUAUCUCCAUAACUGUGCAUUAGUACUCCCAGGUAGCUGAUACUUCUUUCUCGCUGGAUUAUUUUGCUGUCCACUUCCAGCUUGUACCUCAUUGGAUCUUUAGAGAUUACCAUACUUUUUGUUUUAUUUGGUGAUAUUAUCAUGUUGAACUUUCUUGUCGUUAUAUUAAAUUGAUAAAAGACUCUGAAGACCAUCUUCACUCUCUGCAAUAAGUAUGGAAACAUCUGCAUAUCAUACUAUAGAGAUAAUUUCUUCGCCCAUUCUGUACCCUAUACUGAGAUUUUUGACUUUAUGAAUAAUAAUUUAUCCAUGAUGAGGUUAAACAGCAUCGAGAUCAAUGAUGAGUCUCCUUGGCGUUUCUAUUUCGAUUUUUUUAAUAAAAUUCUAGUACAGUAUUUCUAUAAUAAUAACAAUAAUAAUAAUAAUAAGGAAUAUUUUUACGUAAAAAAAAUUAUUUAUUUUUGAAAAUUUAGAAAGUAAAAGUUCUCUUAAAAUAUCUUGUUUUUGUGAAUUACGUGCUUUCUCCUCAGCGAAGGCUGUCGAUGAUUCCUUCGAAUUCUUCCCUUUUUUAGACUGUUCUUUUUGCAUCUGGAUAUUUAAUUUUUUCUCUUCUUUGAUGUUAACUUGUUAAGUCAUUUGAUGUCUUCCCUUCCAUUAUAGUGAGUAGUAAGAUAAGUACCGUAUCAUAUUUUAAGCCAUAUUUUAACCUCCCCCAAUGUCAUAAUUAUUAGUUUGCUUGUUAACGUGUAAUAUCUUGAAAUUGUUAACCAAUAUUUGUUUUAUCUGUUAUUAAUAUAAUAUGUAGUAUCACAAAGUCAUAUCAAGAUUUUGGGUGUGAAAAAUUAUUUCAGUUUUAAAAAUGUGCUUACAGCUUAGUCUAUUCUACAUGUUGGUUUCAUGACUUUUCACUAUUUGUCACUUCUGUUGUAACAAACAUAUUUUGGUUCCAAUUGUUUUACCCAGUACCUAGUACCAGCACCUAGUACCAUAUUUAGAUACUUUUAUUUGAUUCUUCUAUAUCAGUAUAAAAUAUUUCAGCUUGAUUAUUUGGGUCUUGUAUUCUUUUCCUGAAAAACAGGAAGAAGUUCUGGAAUUUUAAUAUUUUUUGUUGUAAUAGAAUAUCUACUAAAUUAUAAAUAUUAUGGACUAGAAAAAUAAUAUUGUUUUGUCUAUGUGAUCUAUAUUAUAUUUCUUUCAAUGUGUCAUUUCAUGUCUUAGUUUAAAUAUUAUCUAUUUUAUUAAGUUUACUAUGUUAUAAUCUCAUUGACCAAAAAAAUGAUAUGUUUAGAUUUUUUCCUUACAAGUAAUAUAUUAUUAUAAUUA